AUGUCCCCGAGUGCUCGGGACGGCGGGAGCGGCGUGAGCGAGAUGCUGGGAGUCCCCCGGAGCGAGCAGGCGAACGAGCGACCUUCUCCUGCGGCGCCGGACGGCAACAGCGGUGGCACCGCCUCGCCCGCGCCCGCCCCGCUCGAGCGGCGCCCGCGACCCGCCGCCCCAUUGGUCACAAUACCUGUAAAUCUCCACCACGCUCGCAUUUCAUUGGCUAAGCCGCACGUCGGUCAGCGCAGAGCCCGCGGCCCCGCCCACCGCGGGGGCGCUCGGCGCUCUGAUUGGCUGGCGCGGACAAAGACGGGGGAGCGGCUGUCAAUCACAGCGGGGCGGGGCGGAGGCGUGGCCACGGGCGUGGCCAAGGCGGAACUCCCCUCCCCCGGCACCCCCGCGCGCGUGUCCGCGUUUCCUUCCGCUCCCCCCGGAACGGACCCUGUUGGCGCCCGGACCGCGCGGGCGGGAGGCCGGAAGUGGCGGGGCCGCCAUGGCGGCGCCCGGAGCGCCCGGGCCGGGCCCGGUUCCCGCCGCCGGCACGGUGCUGAUGGCGGCCCGGGCCGAGCUGGCCGCGCCCUGCCGCCUCCUCCCCGCCGCCGCCGCCGGCGCCGCGCUCCGCCUGCAGCUCAGCGUGCAACCGGCAGCCGACGGGCGGCGGCGCUUCCGCCUGGGCCUGCGGCCGGCGGGGGCGGGGGGCGGCGCGGUGAGGGGGAGGGGAGGGGGCGGGGGAGGGGCCCCGGGGGUCGGGGAGGGGGGCGGGGCCCGGCCCGGGGACAUGGCGGAGGUUGGGGGACGGGGGGGGCGUCCCGGGAUUGUCACGGGCUUGUCAAAGGAUUGUCCCACCGGGAUUGUCCCUUGUCCCCUCAGGAUUGUCCCGGGAUUGUCCCACCCGGGAUUGUCCCGGGAUUGUCCCCCGGGAUUGUCCCUUGUCCCCUCAGGAUUGUCCCGGGAUUGUCCCACCCGGGAUUGUCACAGGAUUGUCCCUCGGGAUUGUCCCCCGGGAUUGUCCCGGGAUUGUCCCGGGAUUGUCCCCCCGGGAUUUUCCCCCGGGAGUGUCCCGGGAUUGUCCGUUGUCCCCUCAGGGGACAGGGACAGAGACAGGGACGGGUCCGGGAGGGGCUCAGGGCACCCCAAGAGUGA
rnacentral:lncRNA from 1 species